rnacentral:rRNA from 1 species
UACAGAGGGUGCGAGCGUUAAUCGGAAUUACUGGGCGUAAAGGGUGCGUAGGUGGAAAAAUAAGUUAGUUGUGAAAGUCCUGGGCUUAACCUGGGGAUUGCAAUUAAUACUGUUUAUCUAGAGUAUUGUAGAGGAAAGUGGAAUUUCCGGUGUAGCGGUGAAAUGCGUAGAUAUCGGAAGGAAUAUCAGUGGCGAAGGCGACUUUCUGGACAAAUACUGACACUGAGGCACGAAAGCGUGGGGAGCAAACAGG